AUUACCUGAGCCCACGAGGUCGAGGCUUCAGUGAACCAAGAUUGCACCACUGCACCCCAGCCUGGGUGACUGAGAGAGGUCAAGUUUAAGAGCCACUGCACUAGACAUGAAGUAGUCAUAUUUUCUUAGAUCUUCAGCAUCUACCAUAAGUACACAGAGAAUGGAUUCUGAAUGAAAGAGUCUAGAGCUUGAAAGAGAACUGAAAUUUAAAAAUAAAAAUUAAAACCUAUGAAAUGAGCAGCAUAACUUGGACUAGAAGGCGAGUAUUUCCUGUUGAGAUCCCAGUUGCCAGCAGGCGGCGCUGUGUCAAUACAAAUGCUUUCACCUGAAGGGAGAAGACAAGAAGUUUGGUUGAUUUACUGGAAUUCAAGCCUCAAAUACUGCGUAAUUGAAUUUAUGUUUUCUUACUCAGUUUGUCUGCAUUGUUCUACUUGUAUGAAUACAUUGAUUUUUUUUUUUUUCCAUCUAGCCCAGGACAAAGCGGAGGAAAUUGAUUUCUGAAGGCAUGAAGUCUUAGACAAGAAAAGCCGUCAAAGGAGGCUGGUGGCAGCGGGUUGCUGGGCAGGAAAAAGAAUAACUUCACAGCCAGGAAGCACAGUAGAUGUGACCUUAAUGAAAUGAUCAAAGUUAACAUCAUUAGUAAUAGGACAUAUUGAAGUGUGGAUCCAAUGAGAAGAACACAUGACUUCUUUUGUAUUUCUGUCAAAGAUACAUAACCUGAAUAUAAUCAUUAGAAAACAUGGACAGACCCAAGUUGAGAGACAUUUUGUAAAACAAUUAGUCUGUAACUGCAAAAGAGUCAAAAAAGUCACAAGAGUCACGAAAAAAACAGGAACUUUUCUCAGUUGAAGGAGACUAAAAGAGCUGUGACAAAUAAAUGCAACACAUGAUUCUGAACUGCACUCAGUUGCUAUAAAGACACUUCUGGGACAGUUGGUGAAACUUGAAUGCGUGUCAGAAUUAUACGGUAACAAUGCAUCAGUGCUACUUUCCUGAUUUUGGUAGGAAGAGUGUCCUUGUUUAUUAGAAAAUGCUGAAGUAUUUGGGGGCCAUGGACACCAUGUUGGCAACUUAAUCUCAGAGAUGAGGAGAAAACAGUUUUUUGUUCUAUGGUUUCAAAUUUUCUAUAAAUCAGAUGUUGUUUGGAAUAAAAAUAUACUGUUAAAAAAAUAGAGAGAAGAGUAGGCCAUUGGUGGGAUGGGCAUCAAAGUAGCAUGGAGAGGUGAGAUUUGAGUUUGCCAGAAAGGAGCAGAAGCAUUUCUGGUGUGGGAGGAGCACCCUGGGCAGAGCAGAAGCAUUUCCGGUAUGGGGGGAGCACCCUGGGCAGAAGCCCCAAGAUUGGAAGAAAAAUGGCAGGAAUUGGGAGGAAAGUUACCCCUGCUCACCUGGCACAAAAGGUUUGUGUUAGAAAGAGGGUAGCCAUGUAAUUUAUCAUGCAAAUGCAUGUACUUUUGAGAAUGAAAGAGAGCACUGUUAAUAAUUACAUUUGGUCUGCAGUGUGACCUCUUAAGGAAAAACAAAAAGUAUGUAAAGAGAAAAAAAAAAAAACUGCAUUUAAAAAUUAUAUUUUGACAUGAGCACAACAUGACUAUUUGGAAAACUGCCCUCAGCAAACUGGGAUGUGUGACCCCAGCUAGAAUUCAACAAGAGAUCAGGAAAUUUAGGGGAAAUGGAACCAAAUUGUAGAGGUUUGAAAUGAAAAUGGUCUUGCUUUCUGAUCAGUAGUAAAUAAAUAAAAUAAAAUAAAAAUG